rnacentral:rRNA from 1 species
CGCGUAGGCGGUCUCGUAAGUCGGGUGUGAAAGCCCGGGGCUCAACCCCGGAAGUGCACUCGAAACUAUGGGACUUGAGUAUGGGAGAGGGAAGUGGAAUUCCUGGUGUAGCGGUGAAAUGCGUAGAUAUCAGGAGGAACAUCGGUGGCGAAGGCGACUUCCUGGACCAAUACUGACGCUGAGGCGCGAAGGCGUGGGGAGCAAACAGGAUUAGAUACCCUGGUAGUCC